rnacentral:misc_RNA from 1 species
AAAAAAAAAAAAAAAAAAACAAUGCUGUCAUUAUCUCCGUUGACUAUAUGCUAAAUAAAAUAAGUUAUAAUUUUAUUAGAAGCUAAUUUUUAAAUUUCUUCUUAUAUUGGUUAAGUGAUUGCAUGAUUUUACUAUAAAAUUUAUGAACCAUCAUUAGAAUUAUAAAAGGUGCUGAAAGAGCCUAUGGUAGGGUUGAUUUGUGCAGUUGAGAAAACCAGAAACCUUACUGCCAGCUACAGUUUCUAUCUCAUCUACAUGUGAGGGUAAGUUCUUUAUGACGUUGAUAUGCCAAACAAGGUUUUGACAGUGAUAACAAUCUAGACCAAGAUUAUGAGUCUGUUCAGUAAUAUUAGUUAUUUUAUUAAUUAUUAGUUAUUUUAGUAGCUAACAGUUAUUUGACUAGUUGUAAGUAAGUGGUUA